CUUGCUAAUUUAAUGCAUAGCUCCAACAAAUAUUAUAUUAUGUUUACUAAAUACUACGACCACAUAUAAACAAACCAUUGUCCCAA
rnacentral:rRNA from 1 species